UAGCGACAGGCUUAACACAUGCAAGUCGAGGGGCAGCACAGGUAGCAAUACCGGGUGGCGACCGGCGCACGGGUGAGUAACGCGUAUGCAACUUACCUAUCAGAGGGGGAUAACCCGGCGAAAGUCGGACUAAUACCGCAUGAAGCAGGGGCCCCGCAUGGGGAUAUUUGCUAAAGAUUCAUCGCUGAUAGAUAGGCAUGCGUUCCAUUAGGCAGUUGGCGGGGUAACGGCCCACCAAACCGACGAUGGAUAGGGGUUCUGAGAGGAAGGUCCCCCACAUUGGUACUGAGACACGGACCAAACUCCUACGGGAGGCAGCAGUGAGGAAUAUUGGUCAAUGGCCGAGAGGCUGAACCAGCCAAGUCGCGUGAGGGAUGAAGGUUCUAUGGAUCGUAAACCUCUUUUAUAAGGGAAUAAAGUGCGGGACGUGUCCCGUUUUGUAUGUACCUUAUGAAUAAGGAUCGGCUAACUCCGUGCCAGCAGCCGCGGUAAUACGGAGGAUCCGAGCGUUAUCCGGAUUUAUUGGGUUUAAAGGGUGCGUAGGCGGCCUUUUAAGUCAGCGGUGAAAGUCUGUGGCUCAACCAUAGAAUUGCCGUUGAAACUGGGGGGCUUGAGUAUGUUUGAGGCAGGCGGAAUGCGUGGUGUAGCGGUGAAAUGCAUAGAUAUCACGCAGAACCCCGAUUGCGAAGGCAGCCUGCCAAGCCAUGACUGACGCUGAUGCACGAAAGCGUGGGGAUCAAACAGGAUUAGAUACCCUGGUAGUCCACGCAGUAAACGAUGAUCACUAGCUGUUUGCGAUACACUGUAAGCGGCACAGCGAAAGCGUUAAGUGAUCCACCUGGGGAGUACGCCGGCAACGGUGAAACUCAAAGGAAUUGACGGGGGCCCGCACAAGCGGAGGAACAUGUGGUUUAAUUCGAUGAUACGCGAGGAACCUUACCCGGGUUUGAACGCAUUCGGACCGAGGUGGAAACACCUUUUCUAGCAAUAGCCGUUUGCGAGGUGCUGCAUGGUUGUCGUCAGCUCGUGCCGUGAGGUGUCGGCUUAAGUGCCAUAACGAGCGCAACCCUUGCCACUAGUUACUAACAGGUAAAGCUGAGGACUCUGGUGGGACUGCCAGCGUAAGCUGCGAGGAAGGCGGGGAUGACGUCAAAUCAGCACGGCCCUUACAUCCGGGGCGACACACGUGUUACAAUGGCGUGGACAAAGGGAGGCCACCUGGUGACAGGGAGCGAAUCCCCAAACCACGUCUCAGUUCGGAUCGGAGUCUGCAACCCGACUCCGUGAAGCUGGAUUCGCUAGUAAUCGCGCAUCAGCCAUGGCGCGGUGAAUACGUUCCCGGGCCUUGUACACACCGCCCGUCAAGCCAUGGGAGCCGGGGGUACCUGAAGUCCGUAACCGAAAGGAUCGGCCUAGGGUAAAACUGGUGACUGGGGCUAAGUCGUAACAAGG
rnacentral:rRNA from 1 species